CUACGGGAGGCAGCAGUGGGGAAUAUUGGACAAUGGGCGAAAGCCUGAUCCAGCCAUGCCGCGUGAGUGAUGAAGGCCUUAGGGUUGUAAAGUCCUUUUGGCGGGGACGAUGAUGACGGUACCCGCAGAAUAAGCCCCGGCUAACUUCGUGCCAGCAGCCGCGGUAAGACGAAGGGGGCAAGCGUUGUUCGGAAUUACUGGGCGUAAAGGGCGCGUAGGCGGCCCGAUAAGUCAGACGUGAAAGCCCUGGGCUCAACCUGGGAAUUGCGUUUGGGACUGUUGGGCUUGAGAGCGGGAGAGGGUAGUGGAAUUCCCAGUGUAGAGGUGAAAUUCGUAGAUAUUGGGAAGAACACCGGUGGCGAAGGCGGCUACCUGGACCGUAUCUGACGCUGAGGCGCGAAAGCGUGGGGAGCAAACGGGAUUAGAAACCCUGGUAGUCC
rnacentral:rRNA from 1 species